GAUGGACGCUGGCGGCGUGCCUAAUACAUGCAAGUCGAGCGAACAGACGAGGAGCUUGCUCCUCUGACGUUAGCGGCGGACGGGUGAGUAACACGUGGAUAACCUACCUAUAAGACUGGGAUAACUUCGGGAAACCGGAGCUAAUACCGGAUAAUAUAUUGAACCGCAUGGUUCAAUAGUGAAAGACGGUUUUGCUGUCACUUAUAGAUGGAUCCGCGCCGCAUUAGCUAGUUGGUAAGGUAACGGCUUACCAAGGCAACGAUGCGUAGCCGACCUGAGAGGGUGAUCGGCCACACUGGAACUGAGACACGGUCCAGACUCCUACGGGAGGCAGCAGUAGGGAAUCUUCCGCAAUGGGCGAAAGCCUGACGGAGCAACGCCGCGUGAGUGAUGAAGGUCUUCGGAUCGUAAAACUCUGUUAUUAGGGAAGAACAAAUGUGUAAGUAACUAUGCACGUCUUGACGGUACCUAAUCAGAAAGCCACGACUAACUACGUG
rnacentral:rRNA from 1 species